GACGAACGCUGGCGGCGUGCUUAACACAUGCAAGUCGAACGGAAAGGCCCUGCUUUUGUGGGGUGCUCGAGUGGCGAACGGGUGAGUAACACGUGAGUAACCUGCCCUUGACUUUGGGAUAACUUCAGGAAACUGGGGCUAAUACCGGAUAGGAGCUCCUGCUGCAUGGGGGGGGUUGGAAAGUUUCGGCGGUUGGGGAUGGACUCGCGGCUUAUCAGCUUGUUGGUGGGGUAGUGGCUUACCAAGGCUUUGACGGGUAGCCGGCCUGAGAGGGUGACCGGCCACAUUGGGACUGAGAUACGGCCCAGAAUCCUACGGGAGGCAGCAGUGGGGAAUAUUGCACAAUGGGCGGAAGCCUGAUGCAGCAACGCCGCGUGCGGGAUGACGGCCUUCGGGUUGUAAACCGCUUUGGCCUGUGACGAAGAGUGAGUGACGGUAAUGGGUAAAGAAGCACCGGCUAACUACGUG
rnacentral:rRNA from 1 species